UCUCUACCUUCCGACCUGCUGUGUUGCGAUUCCCUGUUGGCUUUUCGGGAACUGGAGGAUGCAGAUUGGCAAGCGUGGAAGAGGCCGAGGAGGUCGUACGCCCUGCAGAAGAUGUUCGUCCGGACUUUCGGAGUGAAACCCAGAAACGUUCACGGUGCUGAAUCGGACGUGAUCACUUUACUCAAACUUGUGCUCAACCGAUGAAACGCAGUGUGCCGGUGGAUGGAUGAGCACGCAACGAGGUGGACGGACGUUCAGCCAUAUUACAUCCCGAAAAAGAUCUAGAAUGUGGUCAUAAAUACAAUGCAACAGGUUCUGGAGAAGAAACUGAUAUACGUGUAGAACCAUCAUCAACCUGUCCGAUGCUGUAGUGUAUCCAGCCUCAUUAAUUAGAAUACGUCUUGCAGCAUUCCCAUAUUUCCACUAGAAAAAUUUCGGUGGAAUUGAAAUCUAUAGAGGUAAAAUGAAUUUUUUUCUCUCUCUUUGUUUUAUAGAUAUUAUUAUUGAAUUUAGCAAAUUUGUGUUUUUCUUUGUUUUUAACAGUUAUUUUACUUGCUU